ensembl:lncRNA
AUGAACAAUAGAGGUCAGAUUGAGUGUUUUUAUGAAGUGCAGGUGGAGAGGCAAGCAAUGCAUGGACCAGAGAGGCCGCAGAGGGCGGGAUGCAACAGAUGGACACACUCCGCAGGGGUUCUGCUGGACACCAUACAUGAGACUGAGCAGCAUAAUGACUUCCACUCUGCGGUCUGGAUAAUCCUCACAGAAACAGAGUGGCGACAAACAUGCUCGCGUUUCACAUGCCGCCUUCUGCCGCCGCUCCACUGCCAGACAGCAAUAUGGGGUAGCAUUUGGGCACUGAGCCCUGAAGACUUGAAUCCGCCUGGCUCUCUAAUGCCAGCAGUGCCCUCCAGUGCCUCCUUGUGCACAGCCUGCAGGAAAGGUGAACCGCCUGAGUGGGCAAGAUCACCUCAUAAGUGGUGAGAAAUUGGUUCAUGCUAACUCUUCCUUAGAGGUGUUAAACAACAGAUUUCAUCACUUAUGGCAACGCAUUGUUUACUCAGCUUUGUUUGCUUUCUUUUAUGGAGGAUUUCAAUUAAUUGCAUGGGUUUAGAGAAAGGAAAUCUGUCUCAUUUAACUUCCUACAAAAAUGUGAUCACAGUUUCCUGACGUAUUUUCAGCAUUGGCCAUGAAAUGAUAUAGAUGGGGCAGUGGAAUUCAAAAAAGCAAGGUCUAAAGACAAGGGUAUUUAAAGUUGAACUUCUUUUACUUCUUUAUGCUUUUAGAGCACACUGUCAUGCAUAAGAUGCUGCAAAUGGCACUAGACAAGAGUGCAGAGAUCAGAUGUAUUAUCAUCUAACGUGUGUUAUACAGAGAAAAACUUUGGAAAGGCAGUACAGUGUAAUGCAAAAAUGUGUUCCUUCGCCAGUCAGUGGAAAAGAAAAAACUGCAAGUUUCGGGAAACAUUUUUUAAAAAAAGUUGACUGCAGAUGGACUACUCAGAAGGGAUUAUUUUAGAGAGCUUUGUAAUAGUAAUUAUAUAUUUCUAAUCUAUUUGUAGUUCCAGAUGAUGCCCAAACUGUUUACUGCUAAAGGCCAAAAAUCAAACUAGAUUGAGUGGCUUUGGGCUGAAAAUAAAUGUGCCAUAACAUCCAACUAUAUUAUAAUUAAAAUCCACUAUUAAAAAAAUCACCUACUGUAUAAUAUCUACAUUCCAAUAAAACAAACAUUGAGAUGGCAUGCCAACUUUGGCCCGCAGGCCCUGGUCUGGGCAUCUCUGAUUGCGAAAGUUCACACAUUGAGCUUAGGAACUCUUGACUUGCUCUUGUAGACUGGACAAUAAAUACUCUUGAGUCUGCGUGAUAAAGGGAUCACUCAUCUCACAACAGUAUCUCUAAGAAUUUGUGCCAAAACCCCAAACAAGCCUGAGUCUCUCACCACAAGCCAAUUCUUUGUCCCAACCUCUUGACAUCACAGCAGAAUAAGAGGAGUGUUGGAUUCUUGGGUGUAUGAAUGAACUGGACCCUGUGGAGAGCAAAUCUCAGUAAAGCUGCUAAGGUUAUGUUGAAGCGGUGCAGGCAAGCUGUCAGGUACAGGGAGACUUGCCCAUGCUGGGGAUGCCAGCGCUCUCCAGACUCCACUAAACCUGCACUCAUCCUCUCUCCGUCUCGUUCUCUCUCUCACUCUUCUUUGUCAAAAUCUGCAAGGGCUGUCGCAGCACCACAUGUGGCAUUAACCAUGAUACGCCUGAGCUGAGACGUCCGCUGUGCCCUCCUCCGGCUCCGAGGAUGGAGUGAGAAGAGUAUGCCAGGAUGCUGCAUAGGACAGAUGACAGAGUGUGAGACGGAUCCUGCCCACUGCAGAGAGACAGACAGAGACUUGUGUGUGUGUGGACGUUUUGAGGAGUGGCGUCUCAUUUCACAAGAUGCGAAACUGCGUUAAUAAAUAAUGUAAAAUAGACAAUCUACUGAAUGGAAAAUUUUAUCUUGUAUGUUCUUGCUGGAUUUUGCAAUGUAGUUCUCAGAAAUGUCAUUUACACUGCAAAUGUAUUUUCUUUGUAUUUUUGUCGUUUUCCAGUCAAAAAAAUCUAAACAUUCAUCACAAAAGAAAAAACGUGUAAGAUUAACACUCUCUAUGUAUUUGUCUUUAUUUCUUUUUAUUUGAUUCAUAGUUGACUUUUAUAUACUACUUAACAAAAGUUUGGAUUAAUCAUGAAGAUUUUUUAAUAUUUUUGAAAGAAGUCACUUUUGCUUGCCAACAUUGCAUUCAUUUGAUAAAAAAAUAAUUUACUUAAUUAAUUAAUUAAUUCAGUUGUUCUAGCAAAACAGUUUUUGCUGCUUAGUAUUUUUGUGGAUACAUUUUUUCCCAGGAUUCUUUGCUGAAUAGAAA